rnacentral:rRNA from 1 species
AGAUACCCUGGUAGUCCACGCCCUAAACGAUGUCAACUAGUUGUCGGGUCUUAAUUGACUUGGUAACGCAGCUAACGCGUGAAGUUGACCGCCUGGGGAGUACGGUCGCAAGAUUAAAACUCAAAGGAAUUGACGGGGACCCGCACAAGCGGUGGAUGAUGUGGAUUAAUUCGAUGCAACGCGAAAAACCUUACCUACCCUUGACAUGGUCGGAAUCCCGGAGAGAUUCGGGAGUGCUCGAAAGAGAACCGGCGCACAGGUGCUGCAUGGCUGUCGUCAGCUCGUGUCGUGAGAUGUUGGGUUAAGUCCCGCAACGAGCGCAACCCUUGUCAUUAGUUGCUACGAAAGGGCACUCUAAUGAGACUGCCGGUGACAAACCGGAGGAAGGUGGGGAUGACGUCAAGUCCUCAUGGCCCUUAUGGGUAGGGCUUCACACGUCAUACAAUGGUACAUACAGAGGGCCGCCAACCCGCGAGGGGGAGCUAAUCCCAGAAAGUGUAUCGUAGUCCGGAUUGCAGUCUGCAACUCGACUGCAUGAAGUUGGAAUCGCUAGUAAUCGCGGAUCAGCAUGUCGCGGUGAAUACGUUCCCGGGUCUUGUACACACCGCCCGUC